rnacentral:rRNA from 1 species
UACGUAGGGGGCUAGCGUUGCUCGGAAUCACUGGGCGUAAAGCGCACGUAGGCGGAUUUCUAAGUCAGGGGUGAAAUCCUGGAGCUCAACUCCAGAACUGCCUUUGAUACUGGGAAUCUCGAGUCCGGGAGAGGUGAGUGGAACUGCGAGUGUAGAGGUGAAAUUCGUAGAUAUUCGCAAGAACACCAGUGGCGAAGGCGGCUCACUGGCCCGGUACUGACGCUGAGGUGCGAAAGCGUGGGGAGCAAACAGG